AGUAGGGAAUAUUGGUCAAUGGAGGCAACUCUGAACCAGCCAUGCCGCGUGAACGAUGAAGGCCUUCGGGUUGUAAAGUUCUUUUGUAUGGGAAGAAACUCACUCUUGCGAGAGUGCUUGACGGUACCAUAAGAAUAAGCACCGGCUAACUCCGUGCCAGCAGCCGCGGUAAUACGGAGGGUGCAAGCGUUGUCCGGAAUUAUUGGGUUUAAAGGGUGCGCAGGCGGUUUUGUCAGUCAGAGGUUAAAGACCGGAGCUUAACUCCGAGUUUGCCUUUGAUACUGCAAGACUUGAAAUACAUAUGGGUAGGCGGAAUUCCUCAUGUAGCGGUGAAAUGCACAGAUAUGAGGAGGAAGACCGAAGGCGAAGGCAGCUUACUGGGUGUUAUUUGACGCUGAGGCACGAAAGCGUGGGGAGCGAA
rnacentral:rRNA from 1 species